rnacentral:tRNA from 1 species
GGGCGUGUAGCUUAGCGGCUAAAGCAACGAGCUUAUACCUCGUAGAGCGAUGGUUCGAGUCCAUCCACGCCCA